rnacentral:lncRNA from 1 species
AUAAAAUUUGGUUAAAUUUUGGUUUUUAGAUAGUUCUAAUAAUAUCAAUACUCGGUACUUAUAAGUUUUUCACCAUUAGAUCUAUCCUUUUGACUUAUUCUAGAUCAUGCGCUUUCACUAGCCGUUAACUAAAUUCUAGGGGACCACUAUUAUCCUAACUCUAUAAAUCUUCAUCUAAAAGCCGAAAAUCCAUAACCACCAAUAACUUAUGCUUUUAAAAUUUAAAAAAAAAAAUUGUUUAAGGAA